rnacentral:rRNA from 1 species
UACGUAGGGUGCAAGCGUUGUCCGGAAUUAUUGGGCGUAAAGAGCUCGUAGGCGGUCUGUCACGUCGGCUGUGAAAUCCCGAGGCUCAACCUCGGGUCUGCAGUCGAUACGGGCAAACUAGAGUAUUGCAGGGGAGACUGGAAUUCCUGGUGUAGCGGUGAAAUGCGCAGAUAUCAGGAGGAACACCGGUGGCGAAGGCGGGUCUCUGGGCAGUAACUGACGUGAGGAGCGAAAGCGUGGGGAGCGAACAGG